UUUUCUUCAACUUUCUACAGUAAAUGUACUUUCAGUCGACCAUGGGAAUUAUGAACUGCAGAGGUGUGGACUCGAGUCACAUGACUUGGAAUGUGUUUUUCCUUCUUUUCUGAAAACCUUAAAACAUGACAUAAGCAAUUAUGCUAUGAGGCUAACAAUAAGAAAGAUGGUGUAUUUGAAGUUUUUUUUGUAUGUGUGUCAGUUGAAUUCAUUUAGACUCAAAGAAAGAGUAAUGAAGUUUGGGUUGACUUAAUGCGUUUGCUGCCACCGCGACCCAACCUCGGAUAAUUGGAAGAAAAUGGAGAGAUGGAUUGAUUGAUGGGUUAGGGUUAUUUUAUGGUAAUUUUAUGACAGUACUGCUGUUACAAAACUAACCUUUAUCACUAAUCUCUGGAGCUCAAUGUAGGAGUAAAAGUUAAACGUAAAGGUCUCUCUCUGGUAGUUAACUGUAAGCCCUCCAUCUAUGACUACAACAGAUAAUAUACAAUAAUCAUGAGUAUGAUGUUAAAAUAGGUCUUUAGAGGGGUUUGGAGACUAAAGCAGUACAGAUGUUGUCUGGUCUGACUUUAAACAUUUCUUGAGUUCACUCAAAAGGCAGCAGCUUUCAGAGCUAUUCAUAUCACAAAAGAGAAACGAGCUAAAAAUAAACGCUGUGCUUUUUUUUGACACAGCUGAUCACAAGAAAAUCUGCCAGAAACUCACACUUCCUGACCCCAGACACCACUGACUGAUUUUAAAAAUACUACAAACCUGCUGCCAGCUGCUUCGUGAAGUUCAGUCGGUCCGUGCUGAAAAGUAAAACUUCUCCAACAUUAUUUUCUGGUACAUGUAAAAACCAUAGACCCUUGGUUCUCAACUAGUGGGUUGGGACCCCAAGAGUGGGACGCAGAGCAUUUUUUUUGUGGGUUUGGGAUGUGGGCCCAGGAACAAAAAGUCAAUGUUAUGUGCUGCAAAGUGCCGGCUAAUGAGAGCACACAUAGUAUUUAGAAACAAAUCACUGCUUAUAAAGACAAACCUGUUGACUAGUCUCAAAGAAGACUGUUGAGCUUGACACACUCUUGUGUUUUGUUCGGUCAGAUGUCCUAACUGUACCAUGUUACUUUAAUAAAUGUAAGUGGUUGAACAUUUUCUGAAAAUGGGGCUGCUGUCAUUGAAGUGUUGGUGAUGGGUCCUGAUGUUACACCAGUUAAGAACCACUGAGGUAGACUGUAUAAACACCCCACCUCCUUGCUCCCUAUCCCUCUUCCUGCAUUUUAUCCCAUCUCUCCCCCUAUCCCUUUCCAAGCCCGGCGCAGUCUAGGCCUGUGAAGGCUGUUUCGUCAUGAGCCGGGGAUCCAGCUGAAGAUUUCUGCCUUUUAAUAAGGCAGUUUUUUCUUACCACUGUAACUUUUGCUGCUUUGCUAAAGUGCUCAUGAUGGAUAGGCCGGAUCUUUGUAACAUAACAAUGAGUAAGGUCUUUUUACCUGCUCUUUUGUAAUGUUAACAGACAAAGAGUAAGGUAUUUUAUCUGCUUUUUGUAAAGUGUCUCGAGAUAACACUUGUUAUGAGUUGACGCUAUACAAAUAAAAAUUGAAAUUGAUUGAUAAAAAGAUGGAUGCCAUGAAAGCUCCCAAAAAGUGAAGCCAAAGCAUCUGGAGCUCCCCCUACUGGCUGCAUUAAUCUAUCUGUUAAAAGGGGACUGCCAUGAAUUUCUGGUUUAAUUUUGUUUUUUUUAGCUUCUUUCAGUAUUUGAAUUUAAUUUCCUGCUUUUCUUGAUUGCCUUUUUUUUUUUUUUUUAAUGCUUUAUUUUCAUGUUUAGUCUGUGUGUUUCUCUAUGUCCUGUGUGUGGUUUUUUUUACUGUUACACUCUUAAGGUCUCUGUGUGUCUUUAGUGUUUCCUGUUUUAUUUUGUAGUUCUUGUCCCCAGUGUUUCUUCACUUGUCUUACUUCCUCCCUGUUUUUGGUUUCCCGCCAUUUUGUUUGCUCUGAUCGUCUUCACCUGUGUCGUUAGUCUCACCUGUGUCCCACCCAGUGUUCUAUUUCGUUUCAGUGUACCUCCCCUCUUGUUGUCAAUUCAUUUUGUGGAACUGCUCUUGUGAUACAACUCUUAACUCCCCGUGUUUUCUUGUGGCUCUUUUUCUUUUUUUAAGUAAGCCAUAUUUUACCUUUUUGUUCAAAUAAAUACUUUUGGUUUUCUG